ACGAGGAUGGCCAAGUGGUUAAGGCGUUGGACUUAAGAUCCAAUGGACAAAUGUCUUCAAACCCCACUCCUGGUA